rnacentral:rRNA from 1 species
GUUGUAUGGUUAAGUGACUAAGCGUACACGGUGGAUGCCUUGGCAGUCAGAGGCGAUGAAAGACGUAGUAACUUGCGAUAAGCCCAGAUUAGGUAGUAACAACCAUUUGAGUCUGGGAUUUCUGAAUGGGGAAACCCACGUGCAUAAGCACGUAUCCUUACCUGAAUACAUAGGGUAAGGAGGCGAACCGGGGGAACUGAAACAUCUAAGUACCCCGAGGAAAAGAAAUCAACCGAGAUUCCGAAAGUAGCGGCGAGCGAAAUUGGACUAGCCCUUAAGCUUUACACGCGUUAGACGAACGGUCUGGAAAGUCCGACGAUACAGGGUGAUAGUCCCGUAGUUGACGAUGUGUGUUCAGUGAAAUCGAGUAGGGCGGGACACGUGAUAUCCUGUCUGAAUAUGGGGGGACCAUCCUCCAAGGCUAAAUACUACUGACUGACCGAUAGUGAACCAGUACCGUGAGGGAAAGGCGAAAAGAACCCCUGUGAGGGGAGUGAAAUAGAACCUGAAACCGUGUACGUACAAGCAGUAGGAGCAGGCUUUGUCCUGUGACUGCGUACCUUUUGUAUAAUGGGUCAGCGACUUAUAUUCAGUGGCAAGGUUAACCAUCUAGGGGAGCCGUAGGGAAACCGAGUCUUAACUGGGCGUUCAGUCUCUGGAUAUAGACCCGAAACCAGGUGAUCUAGCCAUGGGCAGGUUGAAGGUUGAGUAACAUCAACUGGAGGACCGAACCGACUAAUGUUGAAAAAUUAGCGGAUGACUUGUGGCUAGGGGUGAAAGGCCAAUCAAACCUGGAGAUAGCUGGUUCUCCCCGAAAGCUAUUUAGGUAGCGCCUCGGACGAAUACUACUGGGGGUAGAGCACUGUUAAGGCUAGGGGGUCAUCCCGACUUACCAACCCUUUGCAAACUCCGAAUACCAGUAAGUACUAUCCGGGAGACACACGGCGGGUGCUAACGUCCGUCGUGGAGAGGGAAACAACCCAGACCGCCAGCUAAGGUCCCAAAUUACUACUAAGUGGGAAACGAUGUGGGAAGGCUCAGACAGCCAGGAUGUUGGCUUAGAAGCAGCCAUCAUUUAAAGAAAGCGUAAUAGCUCACUGGUCGAGUCGGCCUGCGCGGAAGAUGUAACGGGGCUAAGUAGUAAACCGAAGCUGCGGCAAUAUACUUUUGUAUAUUGGGUAGGGGAGCGUUCUGUAAGCGGUUGAAGGUGUGUGGUAACGCAUGCUGGACGUAUCAGAAGUGCGAAUGCUGACAUGAGUAACGAUAAAGGGGGUGAAAAACCUCCUCGCCGGAAGACCAAGGGUUCCUGUCCAACGUUAAUCGGGGCAGGGUAAGUCGACCCCUAAGGCGAGGCCGAAAGGCGUAGUCGAUGGGAAACGGGUUAAUAUUCCCGUACUUCUUACAAUUGCGAUGGGGGGACGGAGAAGGCUAGGUGGGCCUGGCGACGGUUGUCCAGGUUCAAGUGCGUAGGCUUGAGAGUUAGGUAAAUCCGGCUCUCUUUAAGGCUGAGACACGACGUCGAGCAUCUACGGAUGUGAAGUCAUUGAUGCCAUGCUUCCAGGAAAAGCCUCUAAGCUUCAGAUUGUAAGGAAUCGUACCCCAAACCGACACAGGUGGUCGGGUAGAGAAUACCAAGGCGCUUGAGAGAACUCGGGUGAAGGAACUAGGCAAAAUGGUACCGUAACUUCGGGAGAAGGUACGCUCUCGACGGUGAAGUCCCUCGCGGAUGGAGCUAUUGAGAGUCGCAGAUACCAGGUGGCUGCAACUGUUUAUUAAAAACACAGCACUGUGCAAAAUCGUAAGAUGACGUAUACGGUGUGACGCCUGCCCGGUGCCGGAAGGUUAAUUGAUGGGGUUAGACUUCGGUCGAAGCUCUUGAUCGAAGCCCCGGUAAACGGCGGCCGUAACUAUAACGGUCCUAAGGUAGCGAAAUUCCUUGUCGGGUAAGUUCCGACCUGCACGAAUGGCGUAAUGAUGGCCACGCUGUCUCCACCCGAGACUCAGUGAAAUUGAAAUCGCUGUGAAGAUGCAGUGUACCCGCGGCUAGACGGAAAGACCCCGUGAACCUUUACUACAGCUUGGCACUGAACAUUGACCCUACAUGUGUAGGAUAGGUGGGAGGCUUUGAAGCACGUACGCCAGUAUGUGUGGAGCCGUCCUUGAAAUACCACCCUUGUAGUGUUGAUGUUCUAACGUCGACCCCUUAUCGGGGUUGCGGACAGUGCCUGGUGGGUAGUUUGACUGGGGCGGUCUCCUCCCAAAGAGUAACGGAGGAGCACGAAGGUGGGCUAAUCACGGUUGGACAUCGUGAGGUUAGUGCAAUGGCAUAAGCCCGCUUGACUGCGAGAAUGACAAUUCGAGCAGGUGCGAAAGCAGGUCAUAGUGAUCCGGUGGUUCUGAAUGGAAGGGCCAUCGCUCAACGGAUAAAAGGUACUCCGGGGAUAACAGGCUGAUACCGCCCAAGAGUUCAUAUCGACGGCGGUGUUUGGCACCUCGAUGUCGGCUCAUCACAUCCUGGGGCUGAAGUCGGUCCCAAGGGUAUGGCUGUUCGCCAUUUAAAGUGGUACGCGAGCUGGGUUUAGAACGUCGUGAGACAGUUCGGUCCCUAUCUGCCGUGGGCGUUGGAAGAUUGAAGGGGGCUGCUCCUAGUACGAGAGGACCGGAGUGGACGAACCUCUGGUGUUCGGGUUGUGUCGCCAGACGCAUUGCCCGGUAGCUAAGUUCGGAAUCGAUAACCGCUGAAAGCAUCUAAGCGGGAAGCGAGCCCUGAGAUGAGUCUUCCCUGAUACUUUAAGUAUCCUAAAGGGUUGUCGGAGACUACGACGUUGAUAGGUCAGGUGUGUAAGUGCUGUGAGGCAUUGAGCUAACUGAUACUAAUUGCCCGUGAGGCUUAACCAUACAACACCCAAGGGGUUU